AAAGAGUCCCUGCUGCUUUCCCUCCAACGGAAGUCCCAAGUCCACUGUGAAAGAAUCACAGGGCUGUCAGCCAGUGUUGAGAGAAAACAAAUACCUCUCCUCAAGGUGGGUCAGUGAACUAUCACAAAUUUGGCACACAGAAGAGAUUGCCUAACUCUGUCCUCUUGAGUGAAAGCCAGGGAUGCAAGUGUCAGAGGUGCUAAAUUUGACAAAUUUGUAUGCAUCAGCCUCAGGUCCACAGAAAACUGAAGCCCUCUUUCUGCCAAUGUUUCUCUGAAUGUAUUGAGAAGAAGUGCCAGUUUCUGCAUACAUUGCUUGAGGCUGUAACCCCUUUAGCACUGGUUUGCAUCAGAAACGUGACUACCUAUGUCCUUUUCAGUCCUGCAGCAUACAGGGCUUUGGCUCCUGUUUACGUCAGUGAAAGCAGCGAGGUCAGAUCCCUGUCACUGCUUUGGAAACUCCCCAGCUGCAUUUACUCUAAAAGGCUAAGCUUAAUUUUCUCAAGAGAACUGAAGGAAAGUUUCUGUAAUGGUUUUUUGCAUCAUUUAUUUCUCUGGGACUUUUCAGGGGAUUCCAGGCCUGCAGUUUGGGUAAAUAUUUAUUUUUUGUUCCUUGAAGAAGAGGACAAAAGCCCCCACAGGCGCUUUGAACAGCCUCUUCCAUUGGGCCAAGGGUAUGGUUUGAAUGUUCUUUGCAGGGCAAUUAAACAGACAUUAACAGCGGACAUUGUGAGAUUCCAGUGGCCAGCCUUGUGCCUAUGGUGAGUGCUGCAUGGAGCUGGUGUUCUGUCAGGAUGUACAGAUUAGUUAUACUGUGGGAAAUUGUAUGUGGGUGUUAAAGUUAAUGCCACUCCAACAAAGGACGUGUUAAGGGACAGAUAGUAGCCCCCUCCAGAGUAUCUAGUGUUACUCAUACUACUAAUGUCUAAAGGAUGGUGGGUAGAAUGGGGCAUCCAUUCAAAUGGCCCAGAGAUUUUCAGAAAGAAAUUUAUCCUUCAGGGAAUCCUCCUUGGAGUUUUAGAUCCCUUAUGAUCUCAUUUAUGCCAGCUCCGCAUUCUUCAUCUGGCCUAAGCUCCACAUCAUAGCCAUCAUCCUUCUGCUCAAUGGGACUGGCUGGGGCUCCUUUCAGAGACAAUCAGUGUCAUUCCUUUAGCCAUGGAAGGGCUCACUGAUAGCUAGCAGGACUAGUACUGGGCAGGAACCAGAUUUUCUAUUUUGAAUUCUGUGAGGUCAAUGUUUUUUUCCAUUCUGAAAUGGAACAAAAACAGAACAUAAGAAAUUCUGAAGACGAGUUCAUUUUGGGUCAAUUGGAAUGUUUCA
rnacentral:lncRNA from 1 species